rnacentral:rRNA from 1 species
UACGUAGGGGGCAAGCGUUGUCCGGAAUCAUUGGGCGUAAAGCGCGUGUAGGCGGCCACGUAAGUCCGCUCUGAAAGCCCGGGGCUCAACCCCGGGAGGCGGGUGGAUACUGCGUGGCUCGAGUCCGGAAGAGGCGAGUGGAAUUCCCGGUGUAGCGGUGAAAUGCGCAGAUAUCGGGAGGAACACCGAUGGCGAAGGCAGCUCGCUGGGACGGUACUGACGCUGAGGCGCGAAAGCGUGGGGAGCAAACAGG